CUAAGUCAAAACAUUAUAUUCAUGUAUCCAAGUUUGACAUUCUUAAAGCGUUAUCUACAAUCUACAUCAUUGUCUAAAGUAAUUGUACUGAAGAUUCUUCAGAGACUAAACUUCAUUAUAUCAUAUAGAGCAAUUGAUGCAUAUGUCCAGAGACAAUACCAACAAAGAAGCAUAAACUAUUAACAAAUGAGUAGCCAAACGGAUCAACUUUUACUUGCUUAUUCAAAGCCAUGAUUGUACAGAGUUACCAGAAUGUCAUACAUAAGAAUCCCAUAGGGCCAUUAGCAAAUUAAGUACGGCUACUACGUCGAAUGAUCCUUUCUUUUGCCAAGAGAUAAGAGAUGCAGAAUCAGAUGUUUGAAGCAUUCAAAGCCAUGACUUUGCAUUGUUCAUUCAAGGCUUGAAGCUGCGCUUCUUUCUUGUCAAGAAGAGCGAUUGUUCAUUCAAGGCUUGAAGCUGCGCUUCUUUCUUGUCAAGAAGAUCGGUUAGCUUCACGUUCUCCUCCAUCAGCUUUUGAACCUCUACCUCUUUCUGCGCCUUCUCACCUUCCAGCUGUGCAGACUUGGCAACCAGCCUGCUUUCACAAUAAGAAAACACAUUCCCUCCGUUUCAAAUUACCCUCCGUUUCAAAUUAAGCGUCGUUGUAGCAUAAAAUUUUUGUUACAAAAUUAGUGUCAUUUUAUGAAUUUAAUUCAACUUUUUCUAUUAAUUUAUCUUUUUGCUCCUAAUUAAACUAAGAUAAACAAUAAAUGUUAUGCAAUUAUAAUAGCCAAACAAGAGCAAAUUUGAACAUUUAACUAGUUUCUUAAUUUUUCCGUUUUUUAAGCUAUCCUAGAC
rnacentral:lncRNA from 1 species